rnacentral:rRNA from 1 species
CCCUUAGAUGUUCUGGGCUGCACGCGCGCUACACUGAUGCGAUCAACGAGUUUUACCUUUCUCGGUAGAGAUGGGCAACCUUUUGAACUCGCAUCGUGAUGGGGAUAGAUUAUUGUAAUUAUUAAUCUUCAACGAGGAAUUCCUAGUAGGUGCAAAUCAUCAGUUUGCAUCGAUUACGUCCCUGCCCUUUGUACACACCGCCCGUCGCUGCUAUCGAUUGAGUGUCCUGGUGAAUUAUUCGGACCGACAGCAUCGGAAGUUUCUUCUGUUGCCGUUGGAAAGUCUUGUAAACCCUGACACUUAGAGGAAGCAGAANUCGUAACA